rnacentral:rRNA from 1 species
AUUGAACGCUGGCGGCAUGCUUUACACAUGCAAGUCGAACGGCAGCGCGGGGGCAACCCUGGCGGCGAGUGGCGAACGGGUGAGUAAUGCAUCGGAACGUAUCCUGUAAUGGGGGAUAACGUAGCGAAAGUUACGCUAAUACCGCAUACGCUCGAGAGAGGAAAGUGGGGGAUCGCAAGACCUCACGUUAUAGGAGCGGCCGAUGUCCGAUUAGCUAGUUGGUGGUGUAAGGCCUACCAAGGCGACGAUCGGUAGCUGGUCUGAGAGGAUGAUCAGCCACACUGGGACUGAGACACGGCCCAGACUCCUACGGGAGGCAGCAGUGGGGAAUUUUGGACAAUGGGCGAAAGCCUGAUCCAGCCAUGCCGCGUGC